GCGCAAUGGACGGAAGUCCGACGCAGUGACGGGGCGUGGGUGAAGAAGGGGCAAAUGUAAAGCCCUUUUCUGGGGGAAGAGAAGGAGGACACCCCAGGAAUAAGUGUCGGCUAACUACGUGCCAGCAGCCGCGGUAAUACGUAGGACACGAGAGGUAUGGGGAUUUACUGGGCGUAAAGGGCCUGUAGGGGGACGACGAGGGGGGGGGGGGAGCCCUGGGUUUUCCCGGGGAGGCCAGGGGAGGGUGUUCGACUUGAGGGUGACAGAGGGGAGUGGAAUUCCCGGGGAAGCGGUAAAAUGCGGGGAUAUCGGGAGGAAUACCAGUGGCGAAGGAGGCUCCCUUUGGGGACCUGACACUGAGAAGCUAAAGCUUUGUAGCGACAGGAUUAGAGACCCUGGGGUCCUGGGGUAAACGCUGGAUGCUAGGUGUGGAAUAAAGAGGUUCCGGGGCGAGCCAACGCGAUAAGCAUCCCGCAAGGAGACUACGGCCGCAAGGCCAAAACCCAAAGGGGUUGUCGGUUCCCCGCUCAAUCAGACGAACGUGUGGUUUAAUUUUAUGCUUCUCGAAGAAGCUUACCUGAGUUUGACAUGCACGGGGG
rnacentral:rRNA from 1 species